GACGGGGGGUCCAAGCGUUGUUCGGAAUCAUUGGGCGUAAAGCGGGCGUAGGUGGUCUUGCAAGUCAGGAGUGAAAGCCCUGGGCUCAACCCAGGAAGUGCUUUUGAAACUGCAAGACUUGAAUGUGGGAGAGGGUAGUAGAAUUCCUGGUGUAGUGGUGAAAUACGUAGAUAUCAGGAGGAAUACCGGUGGCGAAGGCGGCUACCUGGCCCAACAUUGACACUGAGGCCCAAAAGCGUGGGGAUCAAACAGG
rnacentral:rRNA from 1 species